AGUUGUUUGCAGAGUUUUCUCGUAGAAGAGUUUUUCUCAGUUGUACGAUGUUUGUAACGCAGAUCUGUGGGUUUGGUUUGGCUUUUUCUGAGUUUUGCUGCCUCUUAAGUUGCUAUGGUUUUAUUUAGUAGAGUUUUCUCCUUGUCAGCACACCUGCUUUCAUUUGCUCCACCUGCUCCUUGUUGCUUCACCUCAGUGUAUAUUUCCCACAUUUCACUCCUCUGCUGCCAGUUCUUCGUCUUUUCCACAGUGUCGUCCUCAAAAGUGUGUUUUAGUUUUCAGCCGUUAGCUUGUGUUAUUAUUAAACCUUGGUUCGUAGACCCGUCAGCCUCUUUUCCUCCGUUACACAGAUCCUGUAAUCAGGAUCCGCAACUGAUACUUCUGACUGAUUUCUCACUAAAAGAUCCACUGAUAGAGAGGGAGCUGCUCAUCACAGAAACUGUAGGAACAGGCGUGGAAGCAAAGACGUGAUCUAAGGAGAGUUUAGAAAACUACAAACAUGUCAGACAUUAGAUAUCAUGCAGAACUGAAUCUACAUGGCGAAACCUCCUUUGAUUUACUUGGAAUAAUUGACGCCAUUGAGAACCUGGAUCGUCCCUACAAGUCCUCUACAACUGAUCCCUAUCUGGACGCUGGGACAUAUGCUGAUGAGAAAAACUUGGAGGCAGGACUUUGCGUUACUGCGGUCUGGGCAAAGUGCGUAUCGAGGAAAGUUGUUGUGAUGUGGAGGUGAAGGCGUUGAACG